AUAUCAAUUGUUUGCCUCCUGCACACGCCCUGACCAAAGCCAGGGAUGGCACCUGCAACCCAGGUAUGUGCCUUUGACCAGGAAUCACUAGCCAGGAUGUGGAAAGGUUUUAAUGAGAAUCACAAAGGGACUGGGUGAGGGGGAAACAUUUUUCAAAUCCAGCCUUUAUUGCCAUGCUUCAGGGGCUGAGGAGGAGGGAGAAGGCUCAACCCUGCUUAUCUCUUUCCAGACCCAGAGGCAGCUAGCUGGAGGGCAGUCCCUGAAAGUCUUUCCCCAGCCCAGGGCCUGAGGGAAAGGGGAGAUGUCUCUGGUGCUUAUGCCAGGAGUGGGAAGACCUGGAGCAGCGAGCUGACCUCCAGAGGUCAAGAGAGACUCAGAAUUAGGCAGGAACAUCAGAUGUUGGCAGGGCAGAUGGACUGAGGAAACUCUCGGGUUACCCAAACAGCACUGAGGGCCUGGAUGCCCCGCGUCUGCUGGCUCUAGGGACUGAGACCCUGAGGUAGGCACCCCCAAACUGAGAUAUGCUCACAAAGAGGCCCUGACAUCACCCCCUCCCCCUGUUCAGCAUGAUCAACAGAAGGUCUGGAGGGAGAAGUGAGGGCAG